GGUUAAGCGACUAAGCGUACACGGUGGAUGCCCUGGCAGUCAGAGGCGAUGAAGGACGUGCUAAUCUGCGAUAAGCGUCGGUAAGGUGAUAUGAACCGUUAUAACCGGCGAUUUCCGAAUGGGGAAACCCAGUGUGUUUCGACACACUAUCAUUAACUGAAUCCAUAGGUUAAUGAGGCGAACCGGGGGAACUGAAACAUCUAAGUACCCCGAGGAAAAGAAAUCAACCGAGAUUCCCCCAGUAGCGGCGAGCGAACGGGGAGCAGCCCAGAGCCUGAAUCAGUGUGUGUGUUAGUGGAAGCGUCUGGAAAGGCGCGCGAUACAGGGUGACAGCCCCGUACACAAAAAUGCACAUGCUGUGAGCUCGAUGAGUAGGGCGGGACACGUGGUAUCCUGUCUGAAUAUGGGGGGACCAUCCUCCAAGGCUAAAUACUCCUGACUGACCGAUAGUGAACCAGUACCGUGAGGGAAAGGCGAAAAGAACCCCGGCGAGGGGAGUGAAAAAGAACCUGAAACCGUGUACGUACAAGCAGUGGGAGCACGCUUAGGCGUGUGACUGCGUACCUUUUGUAUAAUGGGUCAGCGACUUAUAUUCUGUAGCAAGGUUAACCGAAUAGGGGAGCCGAAGGGAAACCGAGUCUUAACUGGGCGUUAAGUUGCAGGGUAUAGACCCGAAACCCGGUGAUCUAGCCAUGGGCAGGUUGAAGGUUGGGUAACACUAACUGGAGGACCGAACCGACUAAUGUUGAAAAAUUAGCGGAUGACUUGUGGCUGGGGGUGAAAGGCCAAUCAAACCGGGAGAUAGCUGGUUCUCCCCGAAAGCUAUUUAGGUAGCGCCUCGUGAAUUCAUCUCCGGGGGUAGAGCACUGUUUCGGCAAGGGGGUCAUCCCGACUUACCAACCCGAUGCAAACUGCGAAUACCGGAGAAUGUUAUCACGGGAGACACACGGCGGGUGCUAACGUCCGUCGUGAAGAGGGAAACAACCCAGACCGCCAGCUAAGGUCCCAAAGUCAUGGUUAAGUGGGAAACGAUGUGGGAAGGCCCAGACAGCCAGGAUGUUGGCUUAGAAGCAGCCAUCAUUUAAAGAAAGCGUAAUAGCUCACUGGUCGAGUCGGCCUGCGCGGAAGAUGUAACGGGGCUAAACCAUGCACCGAAGCUGCGGCAGCGACGCUUAUGCGUUGUUGGGUAGGGGAGCGUUCUG
rnacentral:rRNA from 1 species